AUGGCGGAAGGGUUAGUAAUACAUGAGUAACUUACCUCUUACCUUGGGAUAACGGUUGGAAACGACCGCUAAUACCGAAUGAGGUGGUGAUAGGGCAACCUAAUACCAUCAAAGUGGGGGAUCCUUCGGGACCUUGCGGUAGGAGAGAGGCUCAUGGGAUAUCAGCUUGUUGGUGUGGUAAUGGCGCACCAAGGCUAAGACGUCUAGGCGGACUGAGAGGUUGACCGCCAANCUGGGACUGC
rnacentral:rRNA from 1 species